rnacentral:rRNA from 1 species
GUAAUUUGCAGUAGGGCGCUUUGGCUUUGGCAGCGGUCCAAGUUCCUUGGAACAGGACGUCACAGAAGGGUGAGAAUCCCGUACGUGGUCGCUGGCUAUUGCCGUGUAAAGCCCCUUCGACGAGUCGAGUUGUUUGGGAAUGCAGCUCUAAAUGGGAGGUACAUUUCUUCUAAAGCUAAAUAUUGGCCAGAGACCGAUAGCGCACAAGUAGAGUGAUCGAAAGAUGAAAAGCACUUUGGAAAGAGAGUCAAACAGCACGUGAAAUUGUUGAAAGGGAAGCGCUUGCAGCCAGACUUGCUUACAGUUGCUCAUCCGGGUUUUUACCCGGUGCACUCUUCUGUAGGCAGGCCAGCAUCAGUUUGGGCGGUAGGAUAAAGGUCUCUGUCACGUACCUCCUUUCGGGGAGGCCUUAUAGGGGAGACGACAUACUACCAGCCUGGACUGAGGUCCGCGCAUCUGCUAGGAUGCUGGCGUAAUGGCUGUAAGCGG